UGAUACCAUGCUUCCAAGAAAAGCUCCUAAGCUUCAGAUAACUGGGAACCGUACCCCAAACCGACACAGGUGGUUAGGUAGAGAAUACCAAGGCGCUUGAGAGAACUCGGGUGAAGGAACUAGGCAAAAUGGCACCGUAACUUCGGGAGAAGGUGCGCCGGCGAAGGUGAAGGGCUUGCCCCGUAAGCUUUUGCUGGUCGAAGAUACCAGGCCGCUGCGACUGUUUAUUAAAAACACAGCACUCUGCAAACACGAAAGUGGACGUAUAGGGUGUGACGCCUGCCCGGUGCCGGAAGGUUAAUUGAUGGGGUUAGCGCAAGCGAAGCUCUUGAUCGAAGCCCCGGUAAACGGCGGCCGUAACUAUAACGGUCCUAAGGUAGCGAAAUUCCUUGUCGGGUAAGUUCCGACCUGCACGAAUGGCGUAACGAUGGCGGCGCUGUCUCCACCCGAGACUCAGUGAAAUUGAAAUCGCUGUGAAGAUGCAGUGUAUCCGCGGCUAGACGGAAAGACCCCGUGAACCUUUACUAUAGCUUUGCACUGGACUUUGAAUUUGCUUGUGUAGGAUAGGUGGGAGGCUUUGAAGUGGGGACGCCAGUUCUCAUGGAGCCAUCCUUGAAAUACCACCCUGGCAACUUUGAGGUUCUAACUCAGGUCCGUUAUCCGGAUCGAGGACAGUGUAUGGUGGGUAGUUUGACUGGGGCGGUCUCCUCCCAAAGAGUAACGGAGGAGUACGAAGGUGCGCUCAGACCGGUCGGAAAUCGGUCGUAGAGUAUAAAGGCAAAAGCGCGCUUGACUGCGAGACACACACGUCGAGCAGGUACGAAAGUAGGUCUUAGUGAUCCGGUGGUUCUGUAUGGAAGGGCCAUCGCUCAACGGAUAAAAGGUACUCCGGGGAUAACAGGCUGAUACCGCCCAAGAGUUCAUAUCGACGGCGGUGUUUGGCACCUCGAUGUCGGCUCAUCACAUCCUGGGGCUGAAGCCGGUCCCAAGGGUAUGGCUGUUCGCCAUUUAAAGUGGUACGCGAGCUGGGUUUAGAACGUCGUGAGACAGUUCGGUCCCUAUCUGCCGUGGACGUUUGAGAUUUGAGAGGGGCUGCUCCUAGUACGAGAGGACCGGAGUGGACGAACCUCUGGUGUUCCGGUUGUCACGCCAGUGGCAUUGCCGGGUAGCUAUGUUCGGAAGAGAUAACCGCUGAAAGCAUCUAAGCGGGAAACUUGCCUCAAGAUGAGAUCUCACUGGGAUCUUGAAUCCCCUAAAGGGCCGUCGAAGACUACGACGUUGAUAGGUUGGGUGUGUAAGCGCUGUGAGGCGUUGAGCUAACCAAUACUAAUUGCCCGUGAGGCUUGACCAUAUAACACCCAAGCAAUU
rnacentral:rRNA from 1 species